GACGAACGCUGGCGGCGUGCCUAAUACAUGCAAGUCGAACGCAGUGGGGACGGGUGAGUAACACGUGGGUAACCUCCCAUCAGAGGGGAUAACACUUGGAAACAGGUGCUAAACCGAUACUGAUGGAUGGACCCGCGGGGCAUUAGCUAGUUGGUGAGGUAACGGCUCACCAGGGCCACGAUGUAUAGCCGGCCUGAGAGGGUGACCGGCCACACUGGGACUGAGACACGGCCCAGACUCCUACGGGAGGCAGCAGUAGGGAAUCUUCGGCAAUGGGCGAAAGUCUGACCGAGCAACGCCGCGUGAGUGAAGAAGGUUUUCGGAUCGUAAAGCUCUGUUGUUAGAGAAGCGGUAUCUAACCAGAAAGCAACGGCUAACUACGUGCCAGCAGCCGCGGUAAUUC
rnacentral:rRNA from 1 species